rnacentral:rRNA from 1 species
CGGGGUGAGUAAUGUCUGGGAAACUGCCUGAUGGAGGGGGAUAACUACUGGAAACGGUAGCUAAUACCGCAUAACGUCGCAAGACCAAAGAGGGGACCUUAGGGCCUCUUGCCAUCGGAUGUGCCCAGAUGGGAUUAGCUAGUAGGUGGGGUAAUGGCUCACCUAGGCGACGAUCCCUAGCUGGUCUGAGAGGAUGACCAGCCACACUGGAACUGAGACACGGUCCAG